CCCAGCUGCAGACAACUGCCCAGGUUACAUUGUAUCCAGGCAAGUGUUACACUGCUGGGAGAAAAGCAGCUAAUAGUUUGGGAGCAUCCUGGGUCUGGUUAAUGUCAAAUU
ensembl:snoRNA SNORA74 Small nucleolar RNA SNORA74